rnacentral:lncRNA from 1 species
GACUAGCUACCUACUGUAACAACUUCCCUUUCAAGAGUCCAAGACCUCAAUUCUUUGGAGAAAAAUGGAUGAAGUCUACAGUAGAGUGCAGUGAUGUGUUCGGCCUUCACAUUCACUCACUAGUGCUUCAUUGACUCACCCAGAGCAACUUCCAAUCGUGCAAGCUCCGUUCAAGGUGCUGGAUAUUAGACCUUCGUCAGACACAUAGACCAGUGGAACAGAAUAGAGAACCCAGAAAUUAGAUCACUCAUCUUCAACCAUCCAAUCUUCGACAAACCUGACAAAAAGCAAUGGGGAAAGGACUCCCUGUUCAAUAAAUGGUGCUGGGAGAAAUGGCUGGCCAUAUUGUGUCUAGAAUUUAUUCCUUCCAGUGGGUUCUUGGUCUCGCUGGCUUCAAGAAUGGAGCCGCAGACCUUUGCAGUGAGUGUUACAGCUCAUAAAGGUGUUGCAGACCCAAAGAGUGAGCAGCAGCAAGAUUUACUGUGAAGAGCGAAAGAACAAAGCUUCCACAGCAUGGAAGGGCACUUUCCGCUGCUGGCUCAGGUGGCCAGCUUUUAUUCCCUUAUUUGGCCCCACCCACAUCCUGCUGACUGGUCCAUUUUACAGAGCCCUGAUUGGUCCAUUUUACAGAGUGCUGAUUGGUGUGUUUACAAUCCUUUAUCUAGACACUGAGCACUGAUUGGUGCGUUUUUACAGAGGGCUGAUCAGUGCGUUUAUUUUCCUUUAGCUAGACACAGAGCGCUGAUUGGUGCGUUUUUACAGAGUGCUGAUUGGUGCAUUGACAAUCCUUUAGCUAGACACAGAGUGCUGAUUGGUGCAUUUUUACAGAGUGCUGAUUGGUGCAUUUACAAUCCUUGAGCUAGACACAGAGCGCUGAUUGCGUUUACAAUCCUCUAGCUAGAUAGAAAAGUUCUCCAAGUCCCCACUUGACCCAGGAAGUCCAGCUGGCUUCACUUCUCAAUAUGUAGAAAAUUGAAACUGGACCCCUUCCUUACACCACAUACAAAUAUUAAAUCAAAAGAGAUUAAAAACCUAAAUGUAAAACUCAAAACUAAGAAAACCUUGAAAGACAGCUGAGGCAAUACCAUUCGGGACAUAGGCCAUGAGCAAAGAUUUCAUGAGAAAAAUGCCAAAGGCAACUGCAAGAAAACAAAAAAUUGACAAAUGGGACCUAACUAAACUGAAGAACUCUGCACAGCAAAAGAAACUGUCUGC